rnacentral:rRNA from 1 species
AUUGAACGCUGGCGGAAGGCCUAACACAUGCAAGUCGAACGAUUGGCGGACGGGUGAGUAAUUUCUGGGAAACUGCCCGAUGGAGGGGGAUAACUACUGGAAACGGUAGCUAAUACCGCAUACCAUCGGAUGUGCCCCGAUGGGAUUAGCUAGUAGGUGGGGUAAUGGCUCACCUAGGCGACGAUCCCUAGCUGGUCUGAGAUGAUGACCAGCAACACUGGAACUGAGACAAGGCCCAGACUCCUACGGGAGGCAGAAGUGGGGAAUAUGGCACAAUGGGCGAAAGCCUGAUGCAGCAAUGCCGAGGGUAUGAAGAAGGCCUUCGGGUUGUAAAGUAAUUUCAGUGGGGAGGCGUUACUCGAAGAAGAAGCACCGGCUAACUCCGUGCAAGCAGCCGCGGUAAUUC